UAUAUUGAGGUUAAGCCUUCAAGCAAAUUUUGUCAAAUUAUAAUGUACAUGAUUUACAUAGUGAUGAGAUUGCAGGCAGUUAAAAGCGUAUAUGGGUACGAGAGGAGAUGGACAGCAGAACCAGUAUGCUGGACUGUCGAUUUCAAAAAAUUAGAUGGAUUCGUAUUUUACUGCUACUGACCAUGUUGUCGUUGAUUGGAGUUAAUGUACAUCACGUGUUUACAGGUACAUAUCAACAACGUGAGGUGAUGAUCAAAUUGAACCAAUCCAAAGCUGUACAACAUCACAUAUCUAAAACUGUACAACAAGGUACAUAUCAACAACGUGAGGAGCUGAUCCAAUUGAACCAAUCCAAAGCUGUACAACAUCACAUAUCUAAAACUGUACAACAAGGUACAACAUCACAUAUCUAAAACUGUACAACAAGGUACAUAUCAACAACGUGAGGAGCUGAUCCAAUUGAACCAAUCCAAAGCUGUACAACAUCACAUAUCUAAAACUGUACAACAAGGUGCGGUUCAGCCAAACAACAGAGCAGCGUUUACUUCCGAACCUUGGAAAACUAGAUUGGCUACAUUACAGCGGGGCUGUGCAUCAGGAACGGACGGGUACAAGCUAACAUCUAAACAAGUGACACAGCGGUAUUACAAUUCUGACCGAGCUGGUUUCUCCGUCUGUAAGGUGCCAAAGGCUGGCAGUACAUUCUGGACAAUCGUGUAUGUGAUUUUGGAAAAGAGAAAAUCGGCAGAAAAGGUUUUCUCGAUGCCGAGAUUCUCUUUGCACAACAUAGGUAACAACAUGGGGUCCCACCAGCCAGCAAUAGGCUCCACGUUGAAUAUAAUCAUUUCACGUGAACCGUACUCAAGGCUGUUUUCAGGUUUUAUAGAUAAGAUAUUUUUACUUGAAAGAAACACACAUCUAAAACGAAACAAAAACUUUCGUGUUCCUUAUUCCGUAAACGGAUUCGCAUGUGGAUAUAAUACAAGUUUCUCGGAAUUCCUUGAUACUAUUACCGAACAAGCUUUUAACGGAGACAAGAUUAAUCGACAUUGGUCGCCAGUCUAUCUGUUAUGUGAUGCGUGCAAUGUAGCCUACCAAGCAGUUUCUUACACGGAGACUUUGGCGGUUGAUGCCAAAUACAUUGUGGACCAUUUAAAAAUUUCCGAUACUGAGAAAACAUCUUUUAGGGAAAUUUUCGAUGGACAAGAAAUGAACAAGAAUAUUAGAGCAAUACUAGCAGAAUCGGGCCGUGGGAAGAAAGCGCGAAGAAACAUUUGUCCGGAUCGAAUAGUAUAUGUAUAUCGACUAUGGCAAUCCCUUCAGAUACAGGGCUAUCUACAUACACAAAGUACAUUUCCAUGGGAAUUUUUCAAAAAGGAAACGAAUUUGAAAGAAAAUGUUGUCAUUAACCGGAUAACUGACGCGAUGACAAAGCGCCCUGUAUCGAGCAAACGAAGGGCGUUACAACGGCGUGCUGCCUUGGUAUCUGCAUACCAAACUGUAGGAAAAGAAACUAUCCGACGUGUUCAGCAAAUGUUUAUGAUGGACUUUCGUUUAUUUGGUUAUGAUAUGAACCCUCCAUCGUAAAUGCUGCUUGAUAGUAACACUUCAUAAUUCCCUCACUUAAACAAAAGCUCGCCAUACGCCAUAGUUGAACUUCAAAUAAGUUUCACUUCAGCUUAGUAUAAAUUGGACCCCCCCCCCCCCCC